CGUGUCAGGCCGGUACGGUACAGGUCUGUUAAUAGAACUAAGAAACCGACCUGACCCUACCCGUACCGUCCCGGGCCAUUCCCUUGUAAAUGUAAAAUGUGACGAAGAGAAGAGCCAUCAGCUCCCAGCAGGGGGUGACAUAUGCCUCAGUACUAAUACUAAAGCCCGGACUGUAGAACUACAAUAAGGUAAAUAGCAUUUGUGCUUUUAAUGACAAAUGUUAAAACUUAUGCUUUGAUGGCAUUUUACACAUUAGAAUGUGAUGUGCAUUAGAUCAGAGGACAAAAAGCAAUUAAAAUGAGUAAAUACUUUAUUAACAUUGUUCAUUAGCAUGGUCUUAUCUACAGUUACAUUUCUACACAAGAAAACAAAUUAAAUACAAAUUCACAGGCUAGGUGUCAGGUGUAACAUUAUAGUAAAGAAAAAUAUACAGAGAGAAAGAUUAAUUGAACAACUAGAUCAGUGAGGUCCCUUUGAUGUUUUUUAAAAACAGGUUGAUGAAUUCCACUGGGAAAACAUGAGGGCAGGGUAAAUUCAACAAGUUCUAGCCGUUACUCUGCAAUGUACUGAAAAUGUGAUGUUUCAUUUCUAAAAGACAGUAUACGAAAAAAGCCAAACGUUUUCGUACUCUAAAAACCACCGACACUGAAAACCUCGAUUUACCCAAACUGCAAAUUUCUCAGUUUGUACUUUCAUUUUGGUUUCACUUGAGAUUGCUUCAACCACAUUCUGUUACCCCACAGCCCAACCAUCACCCCAAAACGUUGUUAGAAAGCCUUCAUUUCCUAACUCUAAAAAAAAAAAAAAAAUACAAAAGUUAAAGCCUGUAUAAAAUUAUUCUAUUAAAUAUGUUACAUGGAAAACCAUAAUUAUUAGUUCCUUCAUUUUUCGUUAAUAUGGUUACAAGUAUACACGAGUAAUAAAACUCAAAAGCUCGAUACUCUCUAAUUAAUGAUUAAUACUUCUAAGAUUAGACACCAUGCUCCUUCAAAUACUAUAGUUCACAGUUAAUUGUCAAUAUUACUUACAAUGGCAAGUGGUUACAUGAGACAUGAAAAAGAUACACCACCACAUUCCAUCAAACCCACAGGGUCCAUAAGCUGAACUUUUCUAUGUCGUCCUGAUUUGUUGUAAGAAACCAUCACAGUAUUAUAGAUCGUGUUGAGAAGCAACAGAAACAUUUUAGACUCACUUCAUGCCUCUUACUGGCAAAUCACGGUGAAAGGACAAGCAAAGUAGCAUCAUGACACAAGAAAAGAGGAAUGUGUGCGCAAUAGGAAAGAGAAAAAAAAAACCCCGAAGAUGUGGUCAGUGCAAGUAUUCUGACAGGAACGUCUGAUCUACCCUUCUUAAUGCACUUAAGCAGCUCUCGAGCUGCAAAGCACUGGUAAUAAGAAACGGGUGAAAAUGAGCGUCGAGGGCAAAGAGUAAAAAGGGAAGAGUGCCGCAUCUGCCUCUUGAAGUUAUUCUCCUCCUCAAGGUCCAAUUGCACAUAAUGAAGGAAUUUCCACCACUUCUCCUCCAUCAGCCCUGGAAACACAGAAUAGUCAUUCAAAUGUAACCACUGAGAGGCUUUUAAGGCCCACUUAUACUUCAAUCUUAAAGCCACUUCAGAUGGAACAGAGUGCAGCAAUUUGGAGGAGAAAAAAAAAAAAUAAUAAAAUAAUAAUAAUCUCUCUCCAACCCUGAAGCAUCCAAACUUCCCUCCCACUUCCACUGUGAUUAAAUGGGGGUGGAAACCGGUGGGCAUGCGGACAGCACGUCUCACACCCCCUCUUCUCAAACGAGCUCAUCACGGAGCGUGUUAGUUGUAGUGCAUCUGUUCAUUAAAUGCAUUUCUCAUGGCAAGGUGGAAGCGUCGUUCCUUUUAAAUCAAGCCGCUUCUAAAUAUUUUAUUGAAACCGUCAGUGGAGAGAGACAUGACAUGACAUCGUUUCAUUGUCUUACUGUAUUCAUUUACAUUUGUGUCUUUGGUGUACAGCACAAACAAAUGAAUUGGCCUCGGCGUUCCAAUAGUUUCGGAGGGGACUGUAGUUUAAUACACAUUUACAGGAUUU
ensembl:lncRNA